AUUGAACGCUGGCGGCAGGCCUAACACAUGCAAGUCGAACGAGUGGCGGACGGGUGAGUAAUGUCUGGGAAACUGCAUGAUGGAGGGGGAUAAAUACUGGAAACGGUAGCUAAUACCGCAUACCAUCAGAUGUGCCCAGAUGGGAUUAGCUUGUGGGUGGGGUAACGUCUCACCAAAGCGACGAGCCCUAGCUGGUCUGAUAGGAUGACCGUCGACACUGGAACUGAGAGCCGUGCCAGACUCCUACGGGAGGCAGACGUGGGGAAUAUUGCACAAUGGGCGCAAGUCUGAUACAGCCAUGCCGCGUGUAUGACGAAGGCCUUCGGUUUGUAAAGUACUUUCAGCGGGGAGGCGUUACCCGCAGAAGAAGCACCGGCUAACUCCGUGCCAGCAGCCGCGGUAAUAC
rnacentral:rRNA from 1 species